AUGCGAGUCCAUCUUGAUUUGGAAGGCUGC
rnacentral:piRNA from 1 species